rnacentral:ncRNA from 1 species
UUCCUUGUCGGGUAAGUUCCGACCUGCACGAAUGGCGUAACGAUCUCCCCGCUGUCUCUGAUGUGGACUCAGCGAAAUUGAACUGUGUGUCAAGAUGCACACUACCCGCGGUUAGACGGAAAGACCCCAUGCACCUUUACUAUAGCUUCGCACUGGCAUCAGGAUUGUGAUGUGCAGGAUAGGUGGUAGGCUUCGAAGCGGGGACGCCAGUCUCCGUGGAGCCUCCCUUGAGAUACCACCCUUCGCACUCUUGAUGUCUAACCGCGGCCCGUUAUCCGGGUCCGGGACCCUGCGUGGUGGGUAGUUUGACUGGGGCGGUCGCCUCCCAAACAGUAACGGAGGCGCGCGAAGGUUGGCUCAGAGCGGUCGGAAAUCGCUCGUUGAGUGCAAUGGCAGAAGCCAGCCUGACUGCAAGACUGACAAGUCGAGCAGAGACGAAAGUCGGCCAUAGUGAUCC